AGCCAAUAGUAAGCAUCAGCCUCUGUUAUUUGCCAGAAUGAAUUUUCAAGUGAUUCUAACAUUGUCUUCAAAUUGCCUUGUCUGAUGCCGAGUGAAGCAGAAAUGAACUCUCUCUGAAAAACCCUGGCUAAGCUGCAGAUUUGAUGAAGACAGAAUGAUGUUUGACAAAUUGGUGAAGUGCUGUUUUUGAAGACCUAAGAUUUUGACUGGAAUUGCCAGAAUACUUCGUUACAUAUUUAAGUCUAGACAAGAAGCAUUAGGAUAGGGAUUCCAUCCAUCCUGAAGCAGGAGAACCCAACAGUAAAGUUAUAGGGACCAUACAGCUUGAAACAUCUCUGACCGCUUAAUGAUACCAGAUGCUCUGCUGAAAAACUUUUGAAAGUGUUCUUUAAACCUCUUGAGAUAUUUUUGAUUUCUGCUAUGGGCAUUCCUUGGAAUAGAAAUCUUAGACUAC